GUACCAUAACCGACACAGGUGGGUAGGUAGAGUAUACUAAGGGGCGCGAGAUAACUCUCUCUAAGGAACUCGGCAAAAUGACUCCGUAACUUCGGGAGAAGGAGUGCCUUAUUCUAUAAGGUUGCAAUAACAAGAUCCAAGCAACUGUUUAUCAAAAACACAGGUCUCCGCUAAGUCGUAAGACGAAGUAUGGGGGCUGACGCCUGCCCAGUGCCAGAAGGUUAAAGAAGUUGGUUAGUGUAAACGAAGCUGAUAACUGAAGCCCUGGUGAACGGCGGCCGUAACUAUAACGGUCCUAAGGUAGCGAAAUUCCUUGUCGGGUAAGUUCCGACCCGCACGAAAGGCGUAAUGAUUUGGAUACUGUCUCGGAGAGAGGCUCGGUGAAAUAGACUUGUCUGUGAAGAUGCGGACUACCUGCACCAGGACAGAAAGACCCUAUGAAGCUUUACUGUAACUUGAAAUUGGAAUUGGACUUUAUUCGCGCAGCAUAGGUGGGAGACAUUGAAGAUAUUCUUGCGGGAGUAUCGGAGUCAUUAGUGAGAUACCACUCUUGUAAUGUUAGAUUUCUAACUUUGAACCAUUAUCUGGUCAAAGGACAGUUUCAGGCGGGCAGUUUGACUGGGGCGGUCGCCUCCCAAAUGGUAACGGAGGCGUACAAAGGUUUCCUCUGAACGGGUAGAAAUCGUAUCUAGAGUGUAAAGGCAUAAGGAAGCUUGACUGUGAGACCUACAAGUCGAGCAGGGACGAAAGUCGGUCUUAGUGAUCUGACGGUACUGAGUGGAAAGGCCGUCACUCAACGGAUAAAAGUUACUCUAGGAUAACAGGCUGAUCUCCCCCAAGAGUUCACAUCGACGGGGAGGUUUGGCACCUCGAUGUCGGCUCAUCGCAUCCUGGGGCGGUAGUACGUCCCAAGGGUUGGGCUGUUCGCCCAUGAAAGCGGUACGCGAGCUGGGUUCAGAACGUCGUGAGACAGUUCGGUCCAUAUCCGGUGUAGGCGUUAGGAUAUUGAGAGGAGCCUUCUUUAGUACGAGAGGACCGAGAAGGACAUACCGCUGGUGUACCAGUUAUCGUGCCAACGGUAAACGCUGGGUAGCUAUGUAUGGAGUGGAUAACCGCUGAAAGCAUCUAAGUGGGAAGCCCACCUCAAGAUGAGUAUUCUCAUCACGUUAGUGAGUAAGGUCACGGUAAGACUAACCGUUUGAUAGGCAUUAAGUGUAAAUACAGUAAUGUAU
rnacentral:rRNA from 1 species